UCUCCGUAGGUGAACCUGCGGAGGGAUCAUUACUGAGUGAGGGUCUCCGGGCCCGACCUCCAACCCUUUGUGAACACAUCUUGUUGCUUCGGGGGCGACCCUGCCGGCACUUCGUCGCCGGGCGCCCCCGGAGCCCAUCAAACCCUGCGUAACUAAGUCGUCGGAGUUUAAACAAAUUAAACAAAACUUUCAACAACGGAUCUCUUGGUUCGGGCAUCGAAAGAACGCAGC
rnacentral:misc_RNA from 1 species